rnacentral:rRNA from 1 species
CCUUAGGGUCGUAAAGCUCUUUCGCCAGGGAUGAUAAUGACAGUACCUGGUAAAGAAACCCCGGCUAACUCCGUGCCAGCAGCCGCGGUAAUACGGAGGGGGUUAGCGUUGUUCGGAAUUACUGGGCGUAAAGCGUACGUAGGCGGAUUAGAAAGUUAGGGGUGAAAUCCCGAGGCUCAACCUUGGAACUGCCUCUAAAACUCCAGGUCUUGAGUUCGAGAGAGGUGAGUGGAAUUCCGAGUGUAGAGGUGAAAUUCGUAGAUAUUUGGAGGAACACCAGUGGCGAAGGCGGGCCACUA